UACAGAGGUCUCAAGCGUUGUUCGGAUUCAUUGGGCGUAAAGGGUGCGUAGGCGGCGCGGUAAGUCGGGUGUGAAAUCUCGGGGCUUAACUCCGAAACUGCAUUCGAUACUGCCGUGCUUGAGGACUGGAGAGGAGACUGGAAUUUACGGUGUAGCGGUGAAAUGCGUAGAUAUCGUAAGGAAGACCAGUGGCGAAGGCGGGUCUCUGGACAGUUCCUGACGCUGAGGAGCGAAAAGUGUGGGGGAGCGAAACAGGG
rnacentral:rRNA from 1 species